rnacentral:sRNA from 1 species
GUGCAUUAACGAUUGAAGCGACAUCCUUUUUUUCUUUUUCCGAAAAAAAGAUAUAGCGGAAAGCGUGUUAAAAC